UCAGGAUUACGCAGGCAUACCUGGAAAGGAACUGGGCUUGGAGGAUGGUUGCACCUGAAAAAGAAAUCAGUCAGUUAGUGAACAAUGGCUAUAUGUGUCUUGGUCUGGCUUUGGUGUCGGGGCAUUUCCAGUCUCAUAAAAUGACUUUGCGUAACACAUGGAAACUAAUGGUGUUCUACAAUUGCUGAAGCAAGUGUAACACUAAAGGUUGCAUUAUUUUUUGGGAAGAUUGGAUGUGCCCUCCCAAAUACCCCUUAGAAAUUGCUGGUGUGAAAUUUUCAUGUGAACAAUUUCUGAAUAAAAUUUAUUAUGAAUUCUCAGUUAGAC
rnacentral:lncRNA from 10 species